AAAGAAACCAACAGGGAUUGCCCUAGUAACGGCGAGUGAAGCGGCAACAGCUCAAAUUUGAAAUCUGGCUUCGGCCCGAGUUGUAAUUUGCAGAGGAAGCUUUAGGCGCGGCACCUUCUGAGUCCCCUGGAACGGGGCGCCAUAGAGGGUGAGAGCCCCGUAUAGUUGGAUGCCUAGCCUGUGUAAAGCUCCUUCGACGAGUCGAGUAGUUUGGGAAUGCUGCUCAAAAUGGGAGGUAAAUUUCUUCUAAAGCUAAAUACCGGCCAGAGACCGAUAGCGCACAAGUAGAGUGAUCGAAAGAUGAAAAGCACUUUGAAAAGAGGGUUAAAUAGCACGUGAAAUUGUUGAAAGGGAAGCGCUUGUGACCAGACUUGCGCCGGGCAGAUCAUCCGGUGUUCUCACCGGUGCACUCUGCCCGGCUCAGGCCAGCAUCGGUUCUCGCGGGGGGAUAAAGGCCCUGGGAACGUAGCUCCUCCGGGAGUGUUAUAGCCCGGGGCGUAAUGCCCUCGCGGGGACCGAGGUUCGCGCAUCUGCAAGGAUGCUGGCGUA
rnacentral:rRNA from 2 species